GGCUGAGUAGCUCAGUGGUUAGAGCGGUCGUCUCAUAAGCGACAGGUCGUGGGUUCGAUCCCCACCUCAGCUA
rnacentral:tRNA from 3 species